rnacentral:rRNA from 1 species
UACGUAGGUGGCAAGCGUUGUCCGGAUUUACUGGGCGUAAAGAGCGCGCAGGCGGUCGUUCAAGUCGCGUGUGAAGGCCCCCGGCUCAACUGGGGAGGGUCACGCGAUACUGAUCGACUCGAAGGCAGGAGAGGGUAGUGGAAUUCCCGGUGUAGUGGUGAAAUGCGUAGAUAUCGGGAGGAACACCAGUGGCGAAGGCGACUACCUGGCCUGUUCUUGACGCUGAGGCGCGAAAGCUAGGGGAGCAAACGGG